CCCAAUUCCCCAGUGUGCAAGGUAGUAUAAAAAAAUAUACAAGACACAGUCCAUGCUGCAAAGAGAUCACAAUAUAAAAAGACAAAACAGAAGAAGGGUGAGAAAAAGGAAAACAACAGGUUUCAGAGUAGCAGCUGUGUUAGUCUGUAUCCGCAAAAAGAAAAGGAGGACUUGUGGCACUUCAGAGACUAACACAUUUAUUUGAGCAUAAGCUUUCAUGAGCUACAGCUCACUUCAUCGAAUGCAUUACCAGUUCAUUAGGUGGAAGAAGAUAAGAGAUAGACUGCCAUUCUUGUCACAACUCUUUGGUAAUUGGUAACUACAAUAUACCCUGAUGUUCUAGUCCUGAUUCUGACAGAGUUUUGGAGAGAAUUCCUGACCUACAUUAAGGCUCCACGGUAGACCUCCAGUAAAACAGGGAACACAAGACAUGAUUUUUCUAAGAAGUGCCAGGAGUGACAGCAUUGCAAAUUUACUGGACCACUGACUGGUACAGGGAGUGGAUUACACGGCUCAAGAUUAGAGGUGAUCCAUGCAGUCCAGAGGUGACAAAAUCAUUUUCACAAGGACAACAGGGGGUUGAAAUGUUGUCCAGAAAUGUGCUGGAAGGAGGGAAAGGAAGGCUGUGGAGUUCUGAGUGUCUGCACGCAGCCGUAGCAAGGACCCUUGACCUCUACUGAUUGCCGUACCUCCAUAGCUCAGCCACACUGCAGCAGAAGCCUGGGCCAAUGUUCCAAGAGGAAGGAUUUCCGUGAUGAACUUACGGUUAAAGUGCUGGAGUGGGCCAACCAGCAGGUCCACUACCAAAGACGGAGGGACUUGUGGGUAGAGGAAAGACAUGCCAGGAGGAAAGGCUCAGGCUGGCCGCACAGCUUGAGGACAGGGUUUCAGGAAUGGUAGCUAAGGUAGAAGGACAGAGCUCAGCAAAAAGAAUUAUCUGAGUGGCUCAUCUUACUAAUGACUGCAAGAAGUGGCUCAUGUAGCAUAACCCACAUCACAGCCUGAGUCCCCUGCAUGCCACCCUGUGCUGAAGUCCAGAAGCAGUUUGGAAGACUCUGGCUGGGUAGCACACGCAAUGAGUUUCCAUGCGCAGCUGGGCAGCACAACCUUGCCUCAUGCAGCCCUCCAUAUUUACCCCCUCCCCUGUGGGUGCCUCUACCCCCCUCCCACAGGGCCAAGUAAGCGGCAAGGGGUGGGGAAAAGAAGGGAAAGGAGAACAGGUGGCCAGGGGACAUGCUACAGUACAGGGUUUCUGUCUUGUACAUGGUUUCAUGUACUUCGUUUUUAUUAUUUUUUCUGUAAUGUUCUGUUGUUACUGGUGUUUCGGUGUGGUAAUGGCAGCAGGCCGGCCUAGCAAUGGUGAAUGGUCUUUUCUAAGACAUGUUUAUCACUAAAGCUUUUUAUUUCAUCAAUAAUGUUUAUUGCUAUCACUGCUUCACAUCAUAUAACGUGCAUUCAACAUAACAAAAGGCAAAUACAUGAUCAGGGACACUUAGGAAUCAAUAUGCAAAGACUAUCCCUCAAUACAGUUAUCUAUAGCAAUUAAUACUUCAAUCAAUUCCUUACAAUCCAUACUGUGAAUAACCCCACCCCUAAUUUCAUCAGUGCUCAUGUCAUUCAUAAGUACACUGCCUGGCACAAGACUCCCCUCCCCCCACCCCUUCACUGAGCUCUCCCCACUCCCGCACAUUCAUAAUGGUACUUAUAGCAGGAGCAGAGAGAAUUCUCUUGUGCCUCCUCCCCUGCAACACCUUGAGUGUAGCCGACCUUGGUGUUUUCCAAGCUGAGUGUCAACUCUUUGAGUGCAUGUGACUUGCUCUGCCACGCUGACUGGUGACUUGAGUACUGAGUAUUUGGUGUUUACCUGCCCUGCCUCACUGAUUGGAGGACUGAGUGUUCACUGCAUGGUUUUACUGUAGAACUGAA